AAACAAACUAGCCAGCAGAAGGGUGUCCGUGCUAUUUCACCAUUUGUAUGACAUCGCCAGGCUUCAAAGUGCAGCGCUAAAUUGCCAAAAGAUGUUUACUUUACUUGCUUAAGAGCUCCUCGUAAUUCAAUUGUUCUCUCUCCCGCAGUAGAAGCACACAUGUAUCCUGAGCCGUGCUCUUGUGAGCUCCCACUACUUAUUUACCCACGGGCUUUCCUCUGUUGUUUUUUACACUGUGCUUGACUUUUCUUAAUUUUUCUUUUUUUCUUUUUUAGAGGCUUCUGUCUCAAGCAGGCCAGGGAAGCUGAUGCAGUCAAGCUGGCAGCCCUUUCCCACCAUUCCUGAAUUUUGUAAGUUAAUAUUCUGGCCUCACAGCCUUGCAUAACCUCCUUGCUCGUCGGUGUGGUGGUUUUGGUGGUGAUGCCAGGUGGGAGAAGAGGAGCACUGGGCAGCAGAGAUUCUUUCCUCUGACAGAAACACGCCACAUCAACCAAAACUACAAGAGUUCUUCAGAAAAAAACCCGGAUUUCAAACACGAACAUCAUUGUUUCACUGAAACCCUCCUGAUGGGCCUGCCCCAAAUCUCCUCAGUGGCGAGGAAAAUUGUUUUCCUUACAAAACUGCAGUCCUGCCACUUCAGGCUGAAGGCUUCCUUGUUCUUUCAUGGGAUUUUCCUGACCCAAUGCAGCGUGUGGUGGUGCUGGAGGAGAGACAUGAAUGUGCUGCAGGAAUUAUUGUAGCUGAAAGAAGGAGAAGCAGGUGAAGAAAUGGAUGGUGUCUUCAUACAUAGAAAGCAAAACAAAACUGGAAUUAAAUGCACAUCUGCCAAUGAUGGUCGAGGUAAUUAAAAUUAUAAAUAUUGACAAGAGAGACCAUGUCCUGCCUUGGCUGGCAGGUGAAGUCACAGAGACAAGAGUUGUAUCAUCUGCUUUGGUUAAGACAUUUCAAUGAACCCAGUGAAAAGAUGAAACUUUUCUUUUUACCUAAAAUUUAUUUUUAGGUAACUUCAUCUGAAGUGUGACCUCAGACGUUAUACUUUUUAAAAUUUCCUUUUUAGUUAGAAUAAUGUAAUAUGUUGCAAAUAUGAAGCAUGUUGGAUCUACACUUCACUCUAUUGGUUUAUUUUAAAAUACUGAGUUAAGUUGAAGACACCUGUGCUUUUCUUCCAAGUCUCCAACCAAGGUUUUAAACCAAAAUCAAGGUUUCAAACCAAACUUUUAGGUUUGGUUCUUGCAUUUCAGGUAUUUAACCAGUGUUCUAUGGGCAGUAUAGAAUAAAUUGCCAUGGCUCAUCUCCUCCA
rnacentral:lncRNA from 1 species